rnacentral:misc_RNA from 1 species
UAUAUAGAUAGUCCGGGGGGUCUACCUUGGGGUGGUCCCCUUCUUCUAUCUUCUUUUACA